GACGAACGCUGGCGGCGUGCCUAAUACAUGCAAGUCGAACGGUUUAGUUCCAAGAGGCUUGCCUUUUGGAACUAGACAGUGGCGGACGGGUGAGUAACACGUAGGCAACCUACCUGUCAAACCGGGAUAACCUCGGGAAACCGAAGCUAAACCCGGAUAAGCUCCUUUUUCGCAUGAAGGGGGAGUGAAAAGGUGCGACCUGAUGACAGAUGGGCCUGCGGCGCAUUAGCUAGUAGGUAGGGUAACGGCCUACCUAGGCGAUGAUGCGUAGCCGACCUGAGAGGGCGGAGGGGCAAGAGUGGAGGGGGAUACGGACGGGACGACUGAGGGAGGCAGCAGUAGGGAGUGGGCGGAGAUGGGUGUGAGGUUGAACGAGCAUGGGGGCGGGAAUGAGGGAGGCUGUCGGGUUGUAAGGAUCUGUUGAUAGGGAGGAAAGGAAAGGGUGGGGCCGUUGGAAGAAGGUGCCAAACGAGAGAGACGCGUAUACCGACGUA
rnacentral:rRNA from 1 species